rfam:Triticum aestivum genome assembly, contig: Triticum_aestivum_CS42_TGACv1_scaffold_222944_3B
CAUGUACUCCUUCCAUCCAGAAAUAUUUGUCAGAGAAAUGCAUAAAAAUGAAUGUAUCUAGAACUAAGAUAUGCCUAGAUACAUUCAUUCCUCCGACAAGUAUUUCGGGACGGAAGGAGUACAAG